UACGGAGGGAGCUAGCGUUGUUCGGAAUUACUGGGCGUAAAGCGCACGUAGGCGGCUUUGUAAGUUAGAGGUGAAAGCCUGGGGCUCAACUCCAGAAUUGCCUUUAAGACUGCAUCGCUUGAAUCAUGGAGAGGCGAGUGGAAUUCCGAGUGUAGAGGUGAAAUUCGUAGAUAUUAGGAAGAACACCAGUGGCGAAGGCGGCUCACUGGUCCGGUACUGACGCUGAGGUGCGAAAGCGUGGGGAGCAAACAGG
rnacentral:rRNA from 1 species